UGCACACUCUGCUUUCCUUCUGUGAGCUUUUCUUUUCUUGAACUCUCACGCUCAUACACACCUCUGUGCGUUCCCCUUUCACUCUCUCACACAUCCUUCACAUACAUCUCUCACAUACUCCACAUGUACUCCCCUUUUAAUCUUAUACACACUCUCCAUACAUAACUUACAUUCCCUCCUCACUCACUCUCCACAUUCCCUCCUCAGUCACUCUCCACAUUAUCUCCUUACUCACUCUCCACAUUCCCUCCUCAGUCACUCUCCACAUUCUCUCCUCACCCACUCUCCACAUUCUCUCCUUACCCACUCUCCACAUUCUCUCCUC
rnacentral:lncRNA from 1 species